GAGUUUGAUCAUGGCUCAGGACGAACGCUGGCGGCGUGCUUAACACAUGCAAGUCGCACGGGGUAGCAAUACCCAGUGGCGAACGGGUGCGUAACACGUGAGGAACAUACCUUUUGGUGGGGGAUAGCCGGCCCAACGGCCGGGUAAUACCGCGUACGCCCUUCGGGUGGCAUCACCUGAUGGGGAAAGCAGCAAUGCGCUAAUUGAGUGCCUCGCGGCCUAUCAGCUAGUUGGUGAGGUAACGGCUCACCAAGGCGACGACGGGUAGCUGGUCUGAGAGGAUGAUCAGCCACAUUGGGACUGAGACACGGCCCAGACUCCUACGGGAGGCAGCAGUGGGGAAUCUUGCGCAAUGGCCGAAAGGCUGACGCAGCGACGCCGCGUGUGGGAUGACGGCCU
rnacentral:rRNA from 1 species